UAUAGCUCAGAACACCUAUUGCGUAGGCAGCUGUCUAUACUACAACUGACGCUGAGGCACGAAAGCGUGGGGAGCGAACAGGAUUAGAUACCCUGGUAGUCCACGCUGUAAACGAUGAUCACUCGUUGUUGGCUACUUAGUAGUCAGUGACCAAGGGAAACCGAUAAGUGAUCCACCUGGGGAGUACGUCGGCAACGAUGAAACUCAAAGGAAUUGACGGGGGCCCGCACAAGCGGAGGAACAUGUGGUUUAAUUCGAUGAUACGCGAGGAACCUUACCUGGGCUUAAAUGCUGGCUGCAUUGGAGGGAAACCUUCAUUUCCUACGGGACCGCCAGCAAGGUGCUGCAUGGUUGUCGUCAGCUCGUGCCGUGAGGUGUCGGGUUAAGUCCCAUAACGAGCGCAACCCCUAUCGCUAGUUGCCAGCAUGUAAUGGUGGGGACUCUAGCGAGACUGCCGGUGUAAACCGGAGGAAGGUGGGGAUGACGUCAAAUCAGCACGGCCCUUACGUCCAGGGCUACACACGUGUUACAAUGGCCGGUACAAAGAGCAGCCACCUGGCGACAGGGCGCUAAUCUCUAAAACCGGUCUCAGUUCGGAUCGAAGUCUGCAAUUCGACUUCGUGAAGGUGGAUUCGCUAGUAAUCGCGCAUCAGCCAUGGCGCGGUGAAUAAGUUCCCGGGCAUUGUACACACCGCCCGUCAAGCCAUGGAAGUCGGGGGUACCUGAAGUCCGUAACCGA
rnacentral:rRNA from 1 species